rnacentral:rRNA from 1 species
ACGUCUACGAGUUUGAUCAUGGCUCAGGAUUAACGCUAGCGGCAGGCCUAAUACAUGCAAGUCGAGGGGCAGCGCGAUGUAGCAAUACAUUGGCGGCGACCGGCGCACGGGUGCGUAACACGUAUGGAACUUACCCUUUACUGGGAGAUAGCCCGGAGAAAUCCGGAUUAAUAUCCCAUAAUAAACGAAGUGGCAUCACUUUGUUUUGAAAGCUCCGGCGGUAAAGGAUGGCCAUGCGCACGAUUAGCUAGUAGGUGAGGUAACGGCUCACCUAGGCUACGAUCGUUAGGGGGCCUGAGAGGGUUAUCCCCCACACUGGUACUGAGACACGGACCAGAUUCCUACGGGAGGCAGCAGUGAGGAAUAUUGCGCAAUGGAGGCAACUCUGACGCAGCCAUGCCGCGUGCAGGAAGAAGGCGCUACGCGUUGUAAACUGCUUUUAACCGGGAAGAAACCCUCCGACGUGUCGGAGGUUGACGGUACCGGAGGAAUAAGCACCGGCUAACUUCGUG